CAGAAACUGAAGUCAGUUCUGCUGGUUCAAUAUUCAGAGUGAUUGUGAUUAUCAUUGAGUUUGCAGUGUUUGCUGCUCCUACUGUGAUUCUUCUUCAGAUCAUCUGUGCAAGAAGAGCUGGGAGGAAGAACUCACAGCACCGAGAGGAAAUAGUGAUGAAUACAGUAUUACAAUAAAAUACUCUCUACAAAAAACAGGCCAGAGUACACUGUAAAAUAAAUAGAUAAAUAAAAACAAAGUAAAAUAUCUUAAUUCAAAUAUAGUGAAAAACAAUUAUUUUACAGAUAUUUUUCAUUAAAAGUUUCAGUGAAAAUGUUAUUUUACGGAUUUAUCCAUUUUAAAUAGGUAAAGAUAAUUUAAUUUGACUAUUUUUGA